GAUGAACGCUAGCUACAGGCUUAACACAUGCAAGUCGAGGGGCAGCACGGUGUAGCAAUACACGGGUGGCGACCGGCGCACGGGUGCGUAACGCGUAUCCAACUUUCCCGUUACUCUCGGAUAGCCUUCCGAAAGGGAGAUUAAUACGAGAUGGUGUUCAGUUUCCGCAUGUUUACUGAACUAAAGAUUCAUCGGUAACGGAUAGGGAUGCGUGACAUUAGAUAGUUGGCGGGGUAACGGCCCACCAAGUCAACGAUGUCUAGGGGUUCUGAGAGGAAGGUCCCCCCACACUGGAACUGAGACACGGUCCAGACUCCUACGGGAGGCAGCAGUGAGGAAUAUUGGUCAAUGGGCGGAGGCCUGAACCAGCCAAGUAGCGUGAAGGAUGAAGGUUCUAUGGAUUGUAAACUUCUUUUAUACGGGAAUACAUCACCUACGUGUAGGUGCCUGCAUGUACCGUAUGAAUAAGCAUCGGCUAACUCCGUGCCAGCA
rnacentral:rRNA from 1 species